ACUACUUUGCACUGCAACACAAGUACAUUAAUUUUCGAUGCGCAAAGUACACAUUUUCGGGGCCAAAAACUCCAAUCAUCAUCUCAAUACAGCAAUUGCGCGCUCCAACUGUCAGCCGUGUCCGUGUGCCGAGCGUCGUGUAGUAAACACGACAAAAACAUCCAAUUGUUAGAGGACAUUGGUUCUGAAACGCGAUGUCAGCAGAACAUUAAGCACUUCCCAAAAGUUCGAUUACAUCUGCCACGCCGUUGGAGAUACUACCUCGGAGCGGAGAUAUCUAUGGUAGACACGACAUGGGAACACAACUUUACAGCUGCCGAUAGCAAAGAACAGAUCCAAUUUUGGUGUUUCCAAAGGUUCUGUCACCAACUUCGUACCACCCUUUGCGCCGUAAGAUGCCAUGCGGCUGUGCCUGCACGAUUUGUUUCGCUUGUGACACACUGGCAACUAGCAGCUGCAUCGGUGACAAUAAUAGAAGGAAAGGAAGUGCUACGUGUGGAGCUGGCGGUACAAAAAUGUGGAUGCACUUUUCCACGCCGAUGGUCGAUUUUAUGCUACCGUUCCGUGCGGUGUUGCGAUAUGUGUGGUACGCGAAGAAGGAAGGAACAAAACAUGCCGCCGCUACGCUCCAGUGAGCGAACCGGGCGCAACGACACACCCAGCAAUGCCAGUGCUCCAGUGGCCAUGGCGCAAGUGUUGACUGGCCUUCUCAACUCCACCCCACUCGUUGCAGGAGAUGGAUGGUGUGCGAGAAAAAAUGGAGCGAAAAUAGGGAGCUAUGGCUAAGGUUCGAAGGUUUUCGCCCGAAUGACCCAAUUUCAUCAAUGGGUGGAAACAGAUGCUAGCGAGUAAGGCAGGGCAAUGGAUGAUGGUGUACAAAAAAAAAACCUCUGCACCCGUACAUUUGCAGAAUUAAAUCUCAUUAAACGCUAAAAUGAUAGUGAUCUAGGUUAGAUGGGUGGUUACAAAGCACUAGGAAAGGUACAACAAUAACACUCCUUUGGCAGCAUCUAGGUUGACAGCGAGAGUACCUUUGUCACUAGUCGUAAUGUCAUGUACAAUCAAUUUAAAGUUUAAAUAGAACUGCAACUGCUUUCUUAUUAAAGCGUACAUCUUGUCGAAUAUCUAUUGAUUGACCUAAAUAAACGAUCUGGCCGCCCGCUUGCCUCUGCAUCUCCACUUAUUUUUGCCUGAAUGUACUUCGCAUUGUUUGGGUUAGUGCGGUGGAACAAAGAACGUAUUGACUAUAAAAUGUUCAUAAACAUAAACCGUUGUUUACUUGGUUGCCGUAUAUAUAUACAAUGUGUAGAAGUUUAAAUAUAAACUGCAAACCACAUUCACCCAACUGGAAGGCGUGCGUAAUGAGGAUCUUCAAGACAGAAAAAAAACUUCUACCACAAUAUCAACAACAAAAAUACCAAGAGAUCACUGAGGCCACGGUCAUACACCGCAAGUUCUUGAGGUCUCGCAAUUCAGUGCCAUGGUGGUUUGUGAUUUUUUCUUACCAAAGUAAAGACCCAGCCAGUUAACGAGCUAAUUAAUCUCACCCUAA